CCUGAAACACCGAUCCCGUACGAUCACUGUAGUUAAGCAACGUUGAGCAUGGUCAAUACCUAGAUGGUUGACCGCUUGAGAAUAACAGGUGCUGUAA